UUACUGACUUUCUUAUCCAAUAUUAUAUAUCAUGAUGUACCACGACCUCUCCUAGGUAAGGAAGAACUUAGAAAUAUAAAUAUAGUCAAUAUCAAGCAUGCAUAUAAUUUUAUAUAAGUAUAAAAUUAUAUGUAUAAAUUAUAAUAUUUUAAAUGGAUGUAAUUAUUCAUUUACGUAUAUAUACUUUCUUUCACUGCCAUUGCAUUAACUACUCCUUAAAGUAGGAGGACUG
rnacentral:lncRNA from 1 species